UCAAACUGAGCAGAACUGGUAUUGUGUUGGAUAUAGAUACCAGAUGUGCCGCAUUUGUUGAACUACCGAUAACUCGGAAAAAGCUGGAAUUGGCCGUGACAGAAAAGAGUUCUCUGGAACUAUCCUUAAACAAAACGAGGACAGAUCUACUUAAAGUUCAAGAAAGCUUCAACUCUACCCAGGAGGAACUAGUUGGGGUACAAGAACGCUUUAACUCUACCCAGGAGGAGCUAGUAGCAACAGAAGGGGAGUUGAAUGAAACGAGGAGCGACCUUCAAGAAACAAAGAUGGAACUGAGGAAUCUCACGGAAUCUAAAUGUGCGCUAAAGAAAGGGAAUUUGACAAAGUGGGAUAUGUUUUAUUCGCCCUAGUACUAUAAUAAAACUUUCACUCGCACUCUCUACCAACAGCUCACCUCGACAUGGGAUUCAAUUAGCAAUCGACUGUUUGGGAUGACGAUUACUGACAAGGUAAUCGAGCUGAUAAAAGAUCUGGACGACGAUCAGAUUGAACACUGCGGAGAACUAUCGUGAAGCCUUGCUACUGAGACAAUGUGCUACCGAAGAGAAGAUGUGCUAAACUAUGCUGACGGUCACAAGAAUGACAGGGCUGAUAUUUUUGGACAAUGUUCACCCUUGAUAGGUUAUGGUGUUUUUAGUUUACCUCAAUUUUUCUGAACUGGAAUCAAUAGGUCGUUUCAUAAGUCUAGUUUUAGUAAUUUGAAGAAAUAUUGCAUUACUGACGAUAAAUGCAGUAAAUUUGAUUAUUGAUCGCAAUUAAUUUUUUAUCAUGGCAGGAUUUUGGUUUUGACUUUUCUAUUAUUAAAAAAAAAAUAGUCUGUUAAAAUCUGUUUAUAGUCUGUUAAAAUAAAACAUACCAUAUGAAAUGAAUUGGGUUUAAAGAUUUUACCUUUUACCUAAUGCAUUAUUUAAUUAAAGAUUACAUAAAUUAUAAAUAGAUAAAUCUACUGUUUAAAAAUUUGUUGUCAUAUCGACGAUCUAGUAAUAUCUCAAUAUAAUCUGAA